ACGGCAACAUUGAGGGUCAAUGAGUGAUCAAGAAUGCUAAUGGGAUCAUGGCCUAGGUUCGUGACCUCCAUUGCACACUUGGGAGGGGUGUUUAGCCUAAGAUCUCCCCUUUGUGGGUGCAUCUACAUCAUAAUUUGUUGCUGCUGGGGUGUGCGCUUGCGCCGCCCCAA